CCUACGGGAGGCAGCAGUGAGGAAUAUUGGUCAAUGGGCGUAAGCCUGAACCAGCCAAGUCGCGUGAGGGAUGAAGGUUCUAUGGAUCGUAAACCUCUUUUAUAAGGGAAUAAAGUGUGGGACGUGUCCUAUUUUGUAUGUACCUUAUGAAUAAGGAUCGGCUAACUCCGUGCCAGCAGCCGCGGUAAUACGGAGGAUGCGAGCGUUAUCCGGAUUUAUUGGGUUUAAAGGGUGCGUAGGCGGGAUGCCAAGUCAGCGGUCAAAUACGGGGGCUCAACCUGCGUCCGCCGUUGAAACUGGCGGUCUUGAGUGGGCGAGAAGUACGCGGAAUGCGUGGUGUAGCGGUGAAAUGCAUAGAUAUCACGCAGAACCCCGAUUGCGAAGGUAGCGUACCGGCGCCCGACUGACGCUGAAGCACGAAAGCGUGGGUAUCGAACAGGAUUAGAUACCCUUGUAGUC
rnacentral:rRNA from 1 species